rnacentral:rRNA from 1 species
AGUGAACGCUGGCGGUAGGCCUAACACAUGCAAGUCGAACGGCAGCACAGUAAGAGCUUGCUCUUACGGGUGGCGAGUGGCGGACGGGUGAGGAAUACAUCGGAAUCUACUUUUUCGUGGGGGAUAACGUAGGGAAACUUACGCUAAUACCGCAUACGACCUACGGGUGAAAGCAGGGGAUCUUCGGACCUUGCGCGAUUGAAUGAGCCGAUGUCGGAUUAGCUAGUUGGCGGGGUAAAGGCCCACCAAGGCGACGAUCCGUAGCUGGUCUGAGAGGAUGAUCAGCCACACUUGAACUGAGACAAGGUCCAGACGCCUAAGGGAAGCAGCAGUUGGGAAUAUUGGGAAAAGGGGCGAAACCUUAUCCAGCCAUACCGCGUGGGUGAAGAAGGCCUUCGGGUUGUAAAGCCCUUUUGUUGGGAAAGAAAAGCAGCAGGUUAAUACCCCGCUGUUCUGACGGUACCCAAAGAAUAAGCACCGGCUAACUUCGUG